AUUGAACGCUGGCGGCAGGCCUAACACAUGCAAGUCGAGCGAGCGGCGGACGGGUGAGUAAUGUAUGGGGACUGCCCGCUAGAGGGGGAUAACUACUGGAAACGGUGGCUAAUACCGCAUACUAUCGGAUAACCCAUAUGGGAUUAGCUAGUAGGUGGGGUAAAGGCUCACCUAGGAGACGAACUCUAGCUGGUAUGAGAGGAUGAUCAGCCACACUGGGUCUUAUACACGGCCCAGACUCCUAAGGAGGCAGCAGUGGGGAAUGUUGCAAAAUGGGCGCAAUCAGGAUGCAGCCAGGCCGCGUGAAUGAAGAAGGCUUUAGGUUUGUAAAGUACUUUCAGCGGGGAGGCGUUACCCGCAGAAGAAGCACCGGCUAACUCCGUGCCAGCAGCCGCGGUAAUAC
rnacentral:rRNA from 1 species